AUUGCAAGGAGGUAAAGGGGGCAAGAAAGCAAUUAGAAGAAAAAGACAGACUAGAUGUAGAGGAAGAUUGGGGUCUGAAUAUGUAUUGUUAGUGUACCAGUGACCCAAGGUCCAGAACCUAUGGUACAUUUGAAAGUAAAUGAAUUGUAUGUGAUACUGAGGGAAGAAGAAGUAAGUGAUUUUGGUGGGGAGAGUGUAUAUUUAGUGGAAGAGCAGCAUUGCCAUCAUUGUUUAAUUCUGAAUGGUCAAGGCUGGGCCUAGAAUCUGUAUUGGCACUGGUGUGUUCUUCAUGUGUUAUUUGUUUACAAUACAAUGCAGGUCAGAGACCUAAAUCAUCCUCCCUGUUCAUGAGGUCCAUUUGUAAAUUUACAAAUGGAUUUCAUUGAAUUACCAAAGGUAAUGCAGUAUCGGUAUGUGCUGGUAAUAUUAGAUACAUUUUCAGGUUGGAUUGAGGCUUAUCCUUGUUGCCAUGCCGAUAUGUCUACAGUGUUUAAGAAAUUGUUACAAGAAUUUAUACCCAGGUAUGGAUUGCCUCGGCACAUUUACUCAGAUCAGGGAACACAUUUCACAGGAAAAGUAGUGCAACAGAUAGCAAAAAUUUAGCAAAUCCCUUACCAUUUACAUUGCUCUCAUCAUCCUCAGUCAGAAGGAGCAGUAGAAAGGGCCAAUGGAACAUUGAAAAAUAAAAUUGCAAAAAUUGUAGCAGAGACAAAGUUAAAGUGGCCUGAUGCACUUCCUCUUGCCUUAAUGUCUAUGAGAUUCUCUCCAGCUCGAAAGCAGGGUUAUCCCAUCAUGAAAUUCUAAUGGGAAGACCAAUGUUCACAGGACGGGUACCUAUAAAAUGUUAUUCUCAUGAGAUAAAUGAUGAUUUAGUAAUGACGUAUUGCAUGUAGCUAACAAAACGAUUAGUCUCUCUAUAUGCAGGUAAAAGCUGUACAGCGAACAAGUGAAUACCAACCUUUGCAUGCCAUCGCUCCUGGAGAUUAUGUUAUGAUAAAAGACCAUUCACGAAAGCACGCGUUGCAACCAAGGUGGAAAGAACCUUGUCAAGUGUUAUUAACCACUAAUUCAGCUGUUAAAGUCGCAGAAGUUAAAUCUUGGAUCCACAUUUCCCAUUGUAAACUGACAAGCGCUGGAAAAGAUUUUUUCACUGGAAGAAGAAUAGAGGACUAAGGAAGCCGUUUUCCCUUCUAAAAAGGGGUACUUUAUAAGGGGAGUAUCUUUCUAAUCCAAAGUCAACUCUACUGUUUUUCUUCAUGAAUCUCAAACUGGUUAAACUUAUAUUGUCCUUAAUGAUUGUCAUUAUGACAUUUUUUUAAUUUUUCAUCCUCUACACUACGUUAGCUCCUCUUUUUUUUCUUUAAUACACGUGUAGCUUGGGCCAGGGAGCCAAGUAUUUUUCUUCAUGGGAGAUAGAUAAUCAUUUUGUUAAAACAGCUACUGAAUUGUAUAAAUUGUCAAACAAAAGUAAUCAUUGUUGGGUUUGUGGGUUUGCUCCGCAUUCCAUGAACUAUGGUUAUCCUUUUGUGGGGGUGCCAUGGUCUAUGGAAUCUUUAUGGGUCUUUGUGAGAAAAUAAGAGCAAAUAAAACGGGGUUUGUUGGAUUUAUUCAGAAUGAAGUAUCCAAAUCUGGCGAACCUGCUAAGGUUCAUUUAACAUAUCCCAUUACUAGCAGAGCAGUAGUAAUUUCUAACAGGGAUCAGAAAAGUCCUGACAAGAUUGUUAAGCCUAUAAGCAAUGCUAUUGUUAUUUUUGAAAACAAUGUCCUUUUAUAAUCUAUGUGGGUCUGAAACUAAUUCUGCCCCUUGUACUGGUAGAUUGAAAGCUUUUUGUUGGAAACCCUUAUUAGAAGAUAUUUUAACAAAAUGUCCCAUCAAGGAUAGAAUCCCGGUGAUUACUAAUCAUGUAUGGGUAAAUUUGACUUCUGAGGUAGAAAUCAUGGAUAAUAAUUAUGAUCAGAAUGAAAAUUUAAAUGUCACUAUUUUGAGAUGGGCCUACUUUAAUAUUCAAACGUUAACUUCCAAUCUUUUUAUGCUACUGCCCUAUAUUAAUCAACCUAUUUUUGACUGCUCAGAUUCUCGUGUUAUUGAUAUUCAUCUUCCAUUUGGGGUAUACUAUUUAUGUGGUAAUUGGGCGGUAAAAAGACUUCCAUGUAAUUGGGUGGAAACUUGUUAUCUAGGUAAUAUUAUCCCAGCGUUAACCCUUCAUGAAAAUUUGCCUGAAGGAAGGGUGAGGAAUAAAAGAAAGGUUAUUAGUUCCAAAAAAAGAUAAAACCGAAAGAACUGUAAAAUCUGGUGAAGAAGAUAGGCUAUUUGCAGGUUUUGUACCUACAUGGGGGGUUAUUGAAUUAAUGUACAAAUUAAACUUGUUAGGAGAUAUACUAGAUGAAGCCUUUAAUAAUACAGGAGAUGCUAUUCAAAAAUUGUCUGCAGAACAGGAACAAGCUUCAGCUAUGAUUAUGCAAAAUAGGUUUGCCCUAGAUUAUUUGUUGGCCUCCGAAGGUGGUGUUUGUGCACUAAUAAAAACAAGAUGUCGUUUAAAGAUAGAUAAUGUUACUGGUCAGAUUCAUACAGAUGUAGAUAGAUUGCAUGAAGUACAAAUUAAACUUAGAGAAGUUCACGAUACUUCUUCGGGAGGUUUAAAUUGGGGUUUUGACUGGAGUUUUGGUUUAACUAAUUGGUUGGGAACAAUGGGAAAAUGUCUUCUCAUUUGAGUUAUUUUAGUAGUAUUGAUGCUUGUGUUUAUAUAUGUUGCAGUGAAUGUCCUAAAGUGUUCAUGCCGAUUAAUCCUCAAGAGCUGUUCACCUUCAUCUCCCCCUGGCACAAUCUCGAAUGUUGAAAUGUCUCCUAUCCGGUCACAACUCAUACCGACUUGGAAUACAGACAUACUUUCUCGUGAAGAUAUUGAUCGUGUGCGCAUCUAUAUGGAAAGUCCUGCAAGUGCUGUUUAAAAUCACUAGCUCGCUGAAUGACCUUCGCUAAACAUGGAAGUGUUGCACGGAGCUUUUUGUGGUGAAAGUCCUAGCACCAAAGGGAGGACUGUGAACAUAUGUAACCUGCUACUGACAUGCUGUCAGCUAUUUUGCUGUUUAUUCAUCAUCUUAAAAUAU
rnacentral:lncRNA from 1 species